UUAUUGGGGGUGUGGAAUCCAUGUAAUCCAGGGAUUUAUGAAUACAGAAGGAUUGAAUGUUCCUGGGAAUGGGACAAUUGUUUUCAAGACUCUUCAAGGACAUUGCGUGGCCUGUCUGCUGGGAGUUCCAAGUGUCACUUGUCUCAAUACCUGCGCUUGAACACGUCCCCUGACAUGGAAAUGAUGAGCCACAAACGGCCCCAUCAGUCUGUCUGAACAUUUAACAUCACAGCCCAUGAUCUUUACAGAGAACAAAAUCCAAGGGCUUCACGGAGUUUAUUUCUACUCUGGAAGUGUCCUGAAGCACUGACUGCACAAUUUACGAAGCUCAUCAGGAAGGAACACGGCACAGAACAUCCAGCCUGUGGGAAGCACCCAAAAGUGAGGGAUUUUUCUCUCUCUGAGGAACCUCUCUGUUCAAAUCUCUGUGUCCUACCCCAAAAUGUUUUGUGAAGUUAAGGGUUUUUAUAAAACUAAGGAGAUAAAUUUAGGAUAGCAGUGGUUGCUAUGACCUUUCAUUUGGGGAAAAUGGUUGAGCUCCCAGUCCUCAUUUUUUUAAAAGCCUGGAGUUAUUUUCCUUGGGGAAGGACAAAUUUUCAGUUGCACAUCAUCAAAUAUUGAAUAUAUUUGCCGCUUAUGUAAAAGAGCAUUUUAGCCUGGUGAGAGAGAAGAGAUUAGAACAAGCAGGCUGCAUCCCUAAAUUCAAUUGUUUGCUGGGAGAUGCCACUCAGCCUGGCAAGAGAUUGACACCGUGUCAACUCUGCUUCUCUCAAAUUGCCCUCAAAGGAGGUGCCCUCUAAAUCUGUCCCCGAAAACCGAGGCGGCACCUGAUGAAAUUAGGGAAUUAAACUUCUGGGAAAGUCUUAUCCGAGAGCACGGAGCCCUUUCCAAUGGGAUAAUUUGUUUGAACGUUAAAUUGAGCAAUCUCCCCUCCCCAGAGCUCUGAGGAGCGCUGGAAGGAGCCAGCAGGGAAUCUUCUGCCCCUUCUGGAGGGAAACACCUUUGCUUUUCCUGUUGGUUCCCCGCUCUGUCUUUGACCUCUUGGCCCCUCAUGUAUCCACAGUAAACAGACAGAUUUAGGAGGAUGUUGUUCCUGCAGGUAAAAUUAGCUCCAUGUCACAGGCCGUGGGAUACAUGGUGGCACUCGGCGAGGAGGUGACGGCUCCGGCCCCAGGCAGCCGCGGUUUGACGGCGCUAAGGGGGAAUUUGACGGGAAUUUGAUGAUGGCUGGGAGCAAAUGCCAUCAAUAGCCAAGAGAUCCUGCUGAAACCUUGUUUUCCUAUCAGUCCUUAUCGGGCUGGACACUGCCAGGAGAGGGGUGGGGAUCAGAUCCAGAUUAAACCCCAGGGUUCUCUUAUCGCCUCCCACGCCAAACGCUCCAGCCACAGCCCACCCAGCAGGGCAAGAGUUCAAUAUGAAAAGCGGGAUCAGAAAAAUGAUAACAUGCUUGUGUUCCUUGUAAAUAUCCUUUUCUUUCCUGCCCUGUCUUCCUGCAUUCAGAUCAUAUGAAAAUAUGCUUGGCUUUAGCAAAAAAAUAAAAAAUAUAUGAA